rnacentral:lncRNA from 1 species
AUGCACCAAGUUCAAAAACCCAAACUCAACUCUUCCGAUGAUGAAUUUGGAGAGUUCUUGACUCCGUCUGGAAUCUUCGUCACCGAUCCCUCAAAUCUCCAAAUUCGCAGUUUUGUUCAUCUGCAAGUUACCAAGAUCAUCAAGGAAGAAUCCCGUAUUAGGAUCAAUUUUUCCAGACUAGGGUUCAAGUACUAUCGUCACAGGAUUAUGGCAGUGUUUAAACCCUAGUCCCGAACAAUCCAUCCCUAUUCAGGAUUCUUUUAUGAUGAUCUUGGUUACUUGCGGAUGAACAAAACUGUGAAUUUGGUGAUUUGGGAGAUGAAUGACGGAAAUUCCAGAUGGAGUGAAGAACUCUUCAAAUUCAUCACUAUUAGAGUUGAGUUUGGGUUUUUAAACUUGCUGCGUGGCGAAUAUCUUCAAAACUUAAUUAGAUUCUAGCAAAAACUACUUAGUAGAAUUGUUAAGAACAAGAACGCAGUGCUUUUCUUGAUGGAUGGGCGCUUUGAAUGGAAGCGAAACGAAGAGAAAUGGAAGAGAGAGAGAAUUUC